CAGUGCCUGUUUGAACAUUUGGGGUGGACAUGUCUCUGUAUGUGUACAUCUCAUGUUUCCUUUGUACUACCAUGAUCCUUCUUGGCUCACAGAGCAAAAGUGGGCGUGCCAUACUAGAUUGUCCUGUACCACGUCUACCGUGUCUCACGAUUGAUACUAAAGUCUUUCAGAGUUGAAAGUAUCCUUGUAAGAAAUAACAAGAUGAGACUCAGGGAGAGCAAAUCAAGAGACUUGAUCAAAGCAAUCUUGGUAGUAAUCAUCAGAGACUGCUGAAGACCAUGGACUUGAAUAGCAGGGGGACUUCUGCUUCUCCAUCCAUCGUGCUGUUCUCUAAAGCACAUCACCAGAGCAUGACGACAGGCCCUCCACAGACUGAUUUUGCAGGCUUCCCAAAGGACAACACGUGUCGGAGAGCCAGUACGUUGCCUGCUAUGUGAAACCAUAAUGAGAAGAGUCUUCAGAUUUAAAAUGGACAGAGCAUGAGUUAUGAAACCCACAGCCCUAAACAUGUGUCCCACAGCUCUUUUUAUGUCACACAAUUGUACAAAAGAUCUGGCUCUAGUUACACGCACUUGUGAAUGUCCUGUUCUAGAAGCUAUUUGCUGAGCUUCAGAUUGGCAUCUGUCCCUCUUGGUUUUUCAUCCAUGUGGGAGAACUAUGCCAAGAGAGCACAGCAUGGGCUUUGUGAGGGUGAAGAGUCAGCUUUGCCUAAUCGCUUCUUACUGGGUAGGCAGGAGUGCUGUUUGGCCAGAGCCAGCUUUUGUUUGGAUCAGGUCAUUUCCCAGCCUUCCCACUGGCUAACAAAGCAAUUCUCUGCUACUGCAGAGCAAGCCUGGGCUCUGUUGAACGAUCAUCACCCUGGGCCUAGAAUCCUCCAUUCAUCACCCAGGAAGCACUGUCAUCAUCACACCAUUUUCCUAUCUGACAUGGCACAGCGCCUGAGAUACCUCAGCACAUUCAGCAGAGCCAGCCUGGAUCAAAAAUUUGAGGGAAAAGAUCAGACAGCCAUUUGUUUCUAUAACCAAAAAGCCACAUUGAUGGCUGAAAUUGUUGAUAGCUGUUGCAUUUUCACAUCCUGGCAUGGGGGUUAGAGACGGGAUGGGGAGCAGGGGCAAGAAUAAAUAUUUGCUAGUACAUUACUUUCCUUUUAGAAUAGGAAUGGAAAAUAUUUGCUCAUUUGCAAAGGUAAUUAAGAAAACAGUCCCAGCUCUCCAGGCCUGAGGUCUUUUGAAACCCAGAAAUUCCCAGUGGAAUGCUUCUUGAUGGCAAGAUUAAAUUCCCUUUAUAUCCAUGUACAUACAGGAUCUGGCAUGUUUCCUGGCAGCCCACCUCCUAAUAGAUUUAUGGAAUGAAAUUGUGACUCUUUGUAGCAGAAGUUGAUUUAUUUUUCCACCACAAAGUUAGUGGGUUAGACAGAAGAAAACAGUAAGCACACACACUUAUUGUAACUUUACUGUUAUAAAGUGUGAAUGUAAAGAAGAAAGGACUGAGGGGACAAGAUUACCAUUUUCAAUGUUUGAAAGGCUGUUAAAUCAAGGAGGAUUUGAUUUGUUUUUGGUGCCAGUGCACAGAACUAGGUACCUUGGCCGCUAAAGACAAGGAAGAUCUUCCUAAUCCAGAAAACAAACAACAAAUUUUUAUUCAGAACCCACGGUGUCCUACAUGCUGUAUUAGGCAAAAAAGAAGCCGGAUCUGCACUCCGAGAACUUCCGUUCUUUCAGGGGAAACAGCACAGAUCAUAGGGUACAACCUGUCCACAUAUGAGACCCCCACAAAAUGCACACAAAAUAGGUAAUUUUUUUUUGAACAGGUACUAGCAGUAGGGUAGACCAAGAAAGGUCUCAUGUAGCAGGAGAUAUUUGAGAUGAGCUAAAGGGAGCUAAGGAUUCUGAGAGGAAGAGGUAGAGGUGAGGAGGAAAGGUGUUCCAGGCACGAGGGAAGACCCAGAGAUAGAAUGGUACACGUAAGAAACAGCAGGAAGUCCAGUUUACCUGCAACUCAGAGUGUGUAAAGGGGAGGAAAUGUAUCUAGAAAGGAAGGAUGAAACUAGGCUGAAAAGGGCUUGAAAUGCCAAGCAGAGGAGUUUGUAUGGUAUCUAAGAAUUAUUAAUAAUAAUGUAUAGGGCUCUAAGGCUUACAAAACCCAGGGCCUCACAGUUAAUGUGUCCGAAGUGGAAUUUGAACUCAGGUCUUCCUGACUCCAGGUCUACCUAGCUGUACAAAUUAAUUCCUUUUACUAUCUUUGACUACUCUCAAAAUGUUGUUUUCCCAGCAUAAUAUUUAGCAAUUUGACAACAUUUUGAAUGGACGAAGUACUCAAACCUGUCAUUCUUUGCCUCUCAAAAGGGGACGGUGAGGAAUAUUAUUUUGAAGAUAGGAAAAAAUAUGUGUAGCACAGAAAGGCCAUAUUACCUAGGCAUGUAGAAUAAUAGUAAUUGCUCAGGUUUGUCAACUCCCAGGAAAAUUCACUAGCCCAAAAGCCAGUGGCAUUUUUAGAUUUGAACAUCAAAAGUGAGAUUUAGCUGGGCCAAUUGAUACAUAGAAUGUUACCGGAAAGGCAAAGGCUUUGGGGAAGUGGGAGUGUGGGAAGGAAAUGGAAAACACUGACGUGGGAGAAUGUAUGUCUAUGUAUACAUAUUGGUUCAAUUAAACACCUACUACAGUUAGUUCUGCUACAACAUGAAAGUGUGUUCCUAAAAAUCACAGAGUCAAACAACAACAAAAAACACAGGGCUUAUGAGGAAAAUGAGAGACAAAUACUUCAUGGGUGACAUAAAAGAAGAUAGGAACCUAAUAAAAAUAGUAGCACAGAUUUGUAAAUGUUAAAUGGUUUUUUAAAAACCCCAACGUAUACACUACUGUAGUGAGAGUAAGUUUAAGUACCUUAAUAAAAUACUGAGAAAUUUGCCAAUUUUUUUUUGGCUAGGCAAUUAGGGUUAAGUGACUUGCCCAGGGUCGAAGAUUGUCAAUUUAGCAUAACAGAUAAUGUGGUGCAGUAAGUUCUAUUACCAUCAUAAGAUAGUUUAUCAACUCAGCAUGAUGGAUUUCAUUUUGUUGUAAGCUUCCAUUUUGGGACUAAGUAGAUGGCACAAUAGAUAGAGGGUCUGGAGUCAGGAAGCCCCGAGUUCAAAUUCAGCCUCAGAUAUUUGCUAACUGUGUGACUCUGGGCUAGUCAUUUUACCUCUGUCUUCAUUUCCUCAAUAGGAAAAUGGCAGUAAUUACAGCAUCUACUUCACAGGGUUGUUGUGAGAAUCAAAGAGAGAAUAUUUGAAAACUGUUUAGUACAGCACCUGGCACAUAGUAGGCACUGCAUAAACACUUACUCCCUUCCCUAAUAAGUUGUUUUUUAAAAAUAAGAUAAUCAUCUGUGUGGUAUGAUGUGGUAAACAACAUGAGUGUAUUCUUGUAAACAGUUGACAAACACAUGCAGUCCCUCCUUCUUCUGACUACCAUUUCUGCCAUUGGUACCACCAUUCAAAUAGUUUUCCAGCUUCAAAAUUUUGUUAUCAUCUUUGACUCUUCCCUUCUGUUUAGUUUUCAAAUAAAAUUACUC